rnacentral:rRNA from 1 species
AGUGAACGCUGGCGGCAGGCCUACACAUGCAAGUCGAACGAAGCCUUCGGGCUUAGUGGCGGACGGGUGAGUAACACGUGGGAACGUACCUUUUGGUUCGGAACAACUCAGGGAAACCUGAGCUAAUACCGGAUGAGCCCUUAGGGGGGAAGAUUUAUCGCCGAAAGAGCGGCCCGCGUUAGAUUAGCUAGUUGGUGAGGUAAAGGCUCACCAAGGCUACGAUCUAUAGCUGGUCUGAGAGGAUGAUCAGCCACACUGGGACUGAGACACGGCCCAGGCUCCUACGGGAGGCAGCAGUGGGGAAUCUUGCGCAAUGGGCGAAAGCCUGACGCAGCCAUGCCGCGUGAAUGAUGAAGGUCUUAGGAUUGUAAAAUUCUUUUACCAGGGACGAUAAUGACGGUACCUGGAGAAAAAGCCCCGGCUAACUUCGUGCCAGCCGCCGCAGUAACAC